GUUGAUGUUCCGUUGUGUAUUAGAAAUUUUGUUUAGUUUCGUGUGCGAAUAAAUUUAUUUCCAUUCAACGACAUUGGGAAUCAAGAGGUUUCCCGGGGAGAAGAAUUGAUUCGUCGGAGAUACUUCAGUUGCGUAAGAGUGGAACUUUCAGGUUUACCGGGGACAAGAGAAGUUUGAUUGGAAAUAGGUCUUGGGUAAGUUUCCUCCGUAUUCCCUAUUCUCUCAAAUUUCUCGAUGUUCUUUAAUUUUGUCUUGUAUAUUUGGGUGUUAUAUGUCGAAUGUGUGUGUUUAGUUGGAAAAUUAAUUUUCAAUAUGUUGAUAACUGUGUUUUCUACUAAUGUUGAUGUUCCGUUGUCUAUCAGAAAUUUCUUUAGUUUCGUGUGCAAAUAAAUUAAUUUCCAUUUAACGACAUUGUGAAUUAAGAGGUAGUUUUCUUCUUUUCCUUUCACUAUCAUCUAUGAACGUAACGGUGAAAUUUUUCAGGUUUCCCGGGGACAAGAAUAGAUUUGUCGGAGAUACUUCUGUUGUAUGUUUAUUUCGUAUUCCCUAUUAUCCUCCAUUUCGCAGUUUUCUUCAUUCUUCUCUUUUAUCUUUGGGCGUUGUUUGUUGACCGGAAAUAUGUAUUAGAGAAUUAAUUUUCGAUCGUUUGAUUUAUUUGUUUGUUUGUAAGCUUCAUGUUGCGUUUUGUAAUGCUCGUUUCUUUCGUUUCGUAUCAGAAUAAUAU